GACGAACGCUGGCGGCGUGCCUAAUACAUGCAAGUCGAACGCUUCUUUCCUCCCGAGUGCUUGCCCUCAAUUGGAAAGAGGAGUGGCGGACGGGUGAGUAACACGUGGGUAACCUACCCAUCAGAGGGGGAUAACACUUGGAAACAGGUGCUAAUACCGCAUAACAGUUUAUGCCGCAUGGCAUAAGAGUGAAAGGCGCUUUCGGGUGUCGCUGAUGGAUGGACCCGCGGUGCAUUAGCUAGUUGGUGAGGUAACGGCUCACCAAGGCCACGAUGCAUAGCCGACCUGAGAGGGUGAUCGGCCACACUGGGACUGAGACACGGCCCAGACUCCUACGGGAGGCAGCAGUAGGGAAUCUUCGGCAAUGGACGAAAGUCUGACCGAGCAACGCCGCGUGAGUGAAGAAGGUUUUCGGAUCGUAAAACUCUGUUGUUAGAGAAGAACAAGGACGUUAGUAACUGAACGUCCCCUGGCGGUAUCUAACCAGAAAGCCACGGCUAACUACGUG
rnacentral:rRNA from 1 species